CAGCAGUCGCCGCGGGAAUACGAAGGGGGCUAGCGUUGUUCGGAUUUACUGGGCGUAAAGCGCACGUAGGCGGACUUUUAAGUCAGGGGUGAAAUCCCGGGGCUCAACCCCGGAACUGCCUUUGAUACUGGAAGUCUUGAGUAUGGUAGAGGUGAGUGGAAUUCCGAGUGUAGAGGUGAAAUUCGUAGAUAUUCGGAGGAACACCAGUGGCGAAGGCGGCUCACUGGACCAUUACUGACGCUGAGGUGCGAAAGCGUGGGGAGCAAACAGGAUUAGAUACCCGAGUAGUCCCUGUCUCUUAUAA
rnacentral:rRNA from 1 species